AGGACGAACGCUGGCGGCGCGCCUAAUACAUGCAAGUCGAACGGGUACCUCUUCGGAGGUGCUAGUGGCGGACGGGUGAGUAACACGUGGGCGACCUGCCUUUGAGUGGGGAAUAACGCUGGGAAACCAGCGCUAAUACCGCAUGCGCUCGCCGUUUCAUUACGGCGAGGAAAGCUUGAUGCGCUCAAAGAGGGGCCUGCGGCGGAUUAGCUAGUCGGUGGGGUAACGGCCUACCGAGGCAUCGAUCCGUAGCUGGUCUGAGAGGAUGAUCAGCCACACUGGGACUGAGACACGGCCCAGACUCCUACGGGAGGCAGCAGUAAGGAAUCUUCCACAAUGGGGGCAACCCUGAUGGAGCGACGCCGCGUGGACGAGAGCUCUCGGAGUGUAAAGUCCUUUUCCCCGCGAUGAGAGGGACAGUAGCGGGGGAAUAAGGCCACGGCUAACUACGCGCCAGCAGCCGC
rnacentral:rRNA from 1 species